rnacentral:rRNA from 1 species
GGAGGAAAAGAAACCAACAGGGAUUGCCUCAGUAACGGCGAGUGAAGCGGCAAGAGCUCAACUUUGGAAUCGCUCCGGCGAGUUGUAGUCUGGAGGUGGCCACCACGAGGUGUUUUAGCAGCAGGCAAGUCCUUUGGAACAAGGCGCCAGCGAGGGUGACAGCCCCGUACCUGCUUUUGCUAGUGCUUCCUGUGGCCCACCGACGAGUCGAGUUGUUUGGGAAUGCAGCUCUAAGUGGGUGGUAAAUUCCAUCUAAGGCUAAAUAUUGGCGAGAGACCGAUAGCGAACAAGUACAGUGAUGGAAAGAUGAAAAGCACUUUGAAAAGAGAGUGAAACAGUACGUGAAAUUGUUGAAAGGGAAGGGCUUGCACCCAGACACGGUUUUACCGGGCCAGCAUCAAGUAGAACGGGGUUAAAAGACCUGGGGAAUGUAGCUACCUCUUGGUAGUGUUAUAGCCCUUGGGUGAUGACCCCCGUUUUGCUUGAGGACAGCGGUCUCUAGGAUGCUGGCGCAAUGGUUGCAAGCCACCCGUCUUGAC